ensembl:lncRNA
CAAAACAGGUUAUAACCUAUAGCCUGUCAUACAAACCAGGUUAUAACCUUUAGCCUGUCAUACAAAACAGGUUAUAACCUAUAGCCUGUCAUACAAAACAGGUUAUAACCUUUAGCCUGUCAUACAAAACAGGUUAUAACCUAUAGCCUGUCAUACAAAACAGGUGAUAACCUUUAGCCUAUCAUACAAAACAGGUUAUAACCUUUAGCCUGUCAUACAAAACAGGUUAUAACCUAUAGCCUGUCAUACAAAACAGGUUAUAACCUAUAGCCUGUCAUACAAAACAGGUUAUAACCUAUAGCCUGUCAUACAAAACAGGUUAUAACCAUAGCCUAUCAUCCAUAACAGUUUAUCAAAUGCACUUGUUAUUCAAAUAUCCAGCCAAUCUAGACAGUUUGGGUGAAUUGUGACAUGAUAGAUGUCUGUGUAAGUCUGCAACUCAAAGUGUCUAUGGGUGACUUCCUUUUCUGAGAGAACGUGCUAUCCUGUACGGUAUCCAAAUUAGGACUAACUGCUUGUGACUCCGAGUCGGUCCUAAUAUUGAUACCGCAAUCAUGAUGUGGCUGAUGGGAGAAUGACAACAGGAAGAGGGCAUUAAAUGGGAUGGACACCUUCCUAACAGUAUUGAGAAUGAGAUCUUGAAUGGGUUUUUCCAAAUGUCGUUUUUUUUCUCCCCAUUACUAAACUACAUGUCCAGAAUGAUCACGUCGUUCUUCAUAAAUAAUAGUGAUGUGCGCUCUAAAUAAUAUAUUACAUUUUAUCAUAAAAAGUACCCUCCCCAAACCCACCCACAGUCAAUGAGUUAACUAGCAAUUUGUCCUUCAGUUGCUCUAUGGAACUGUACAAUGGAAGAAGAAAAAAACAUGGCACCCUAUUCCCUAUAUAGUGCACUACUUUUGACCAAAGUCCAUAGGGCUUGAGUCAAAAGUAGGGCACGAAAUAGGGAAUAGGAUUCCAUUCGGGACUGACUCAAUAUUUUUCAUGUUGUCUUGCUUCAGCGGUCCUUUCUCCAUGGUAAUACACAUGUACAGCAUACAAGAAAAUAUAGAGCCAUGGUCUGCCUGUCUGUCGUUCAGAAGAGACAAGACUAUGUCGACAGAACUUCAUAGCUCAUCUGUUACCCUGCACUAAGGGCGAGGCAAAGAGAGAAAAAAAAAAUCAGGUUUCAUAUUUUCAUACAGAUCUCCAUACAAAUAAAGUGACCAACGAAGAGAGAAACGAAGAAUGGAAAAGCAAACGUAUAGGCACAUAGAACAUCUCCAUUUUUCUCAACAAAUUAAAAAUACAUUUAAAAAAUAAAGUAUUUAAAAGAAAAUACCACUCAAAAAAAAAAAAACAAUGUUGUGUUUCAUUAGUCCACUGUUGAAACAAUCCUAAAAAUGUUUUGCAGGUCAGCAAUCUAGUUUCCAAGAUGUAUAAUGUUAAAAUUCUAGAACGUGUCCUAAACGCAUCAUACUGUGACAUGUUCUGGACUUUUCAAUAUUCUAGAUCUUGAAAACUAGAUUUUGUUUUGUUGAAUUUUCCUUUAAGGGCAAACAGAUGAAAAAGAAAACCCCGGAUGUAGAAUGAGAGAAACUCGAGAGUUUGUUGUGACGAAAUAAAGACAUCUGUGUUCUGUGAUGAGUCGUCUGAUCUGUGACUUUUCUUUCCCUCUAUUCUAAACCAUUUGAAUGUCUCACUGGCACAGACAUCAAUACCAUAUUCAGCAUUGUUACUAUUUCCAGCUGGUGUCCUAAUAUGAAUCCUAACAUUUGAUACAGUAUAAUGAAUUCAACCCUUUAUCUCCUGCGUUCUAAUCUAAACAUGUUCUGAAUGACAAUGUAG